CCGGUCUGAUGGAAAGAACAGCUAACACUUUCUUACCCAUUUUUCCCUAACAGAGAGGAGAGCAUGACAUCUUAAUAGCGUAAUCAAAACCCUGAUUGUUGUUGGUGACAGCACAUGCCACAGAAACCGUAGUUGCUACACCUGAGACCAUCAUUUCUUCUCCAUAUUGGAACACUCACCUGUGGUGUAUUUGGAAGGAAAGCUUCAAUGUACAGGUCCUGCAUGUUAACCUUGGCCAUGCAGCCACCCAUGUGUGCUUUCCAGCCUGCUGCAUCAGAGCCCUUCUGAAUUUGCCUGGUGCAGAACCACCUCCCAUAAGCUAAUUGCAAAUGGGAGAGGCUAUGUGAGAUCUCCAUUCUAGCAAGCCCACUUCUCCUGUAAAGACCUACUUGGGAGGAAAUGGCACUAAUGGGUAUUGGCAUACUGCUCAGCUACAGCCAG
rnacentral:lncRNA from 1 species